rnacentral:misc_RNA from 1 species
AUUUUACAUAAUUUGUCUUGUUAACAAUGAUUGAGAGAAGGAAAUCAAGAAAGGUUUUAUUUACCCCAUCAAAUGUGAUUUUGUUUUAGAGUUAAAUUAAAUAUUCCGUGAUUGUUGUACUGAUUUGUUAAACUAAUUAUCAAGCCAAAUUUUAAAGGUCUAAAGCAAUUGAUAUGGUCCUACCAUUGAUUAGCCUUGUCCAUUCUUUCACUCUCAGUGUUGUACUAAUGAUGCCAUUGCCAUUUAAAUUUUCCCAGAAAGAAAAAGGAAAGAAAAGAAAUGAAAAGAAGAGAAAAGCAUUUUGCUAUCUUUUUCAUUACGUUUCCUAACAAAACAACAAAAAUCAAUUAUAAUUGCAAGGUAACACUUUGUCUUCAUCAUCCCAUCAUUGAACGACUUUCUCAUCGGCCAGCCACCAUGGUCUAACAAGAAACAGAAAUAAAUAACUAAAGUAAACCCUAAAAGGGACUCCAGAUUUACACAUCCCAGAAAAAGAUGAUUUGAACCAUCAAAACAUGUUUCUUUCGGAGGGUUAGGCCUGUUUGGCACCACAACACCCACAAUCUUUCAUGAUAUCAAAUGAUAUUCAAACCCUAAAACACCCAACAUGAUGGUGGUGAUGAAGGGAUUUUUCUUUAUCAAUCAUUCCCUGAACAUACCUAAACUCCUCCACAUGGCAAGGUAUGGUGAUCGUACCCUUCUGAUCAAACCCAUAUUCUUCUUCAGCUUCCUUUAGUAAUUGCAUGAACAGUGGGUGAUUGAAGUAUAUCACAGGCACCACAAAUCUCUGCUGUUCCUCUCCCUGGCCCACCUUGACUGCCAAACAACCUUUCGGAACGUCUUUCGCUUGCUUCUUGUUAUUCCCAUGAUGAUGAUGAUGAUGAAGAUG